rnacentral:rRNA from 1 species
UACGUAGGGUGCGAGCGUUGUCCGGAAUUAUUGGGCGUAAAGGGCUCGUAGGCGGUCUGUCGCGUCGAAAGUGAAAACCCAGGGCUUAACCCUGGGCCUGCUUCCGAUACGGGCAGACUAGAGGUAUGCAGGGGAGAACGGAAUUCCUGGUGUAGCGGUGAAAUGCGUAGAGAUCGGGAGGAACACCAGAGGCGAAGGCGGCGACCUGGACAGGCACUGACACUCAACUACGAAAGCGUGGGGAGCAAACAGG